rfam:Ovis aries breed Texel chromosome 4, whole genome shotgun sequence.
UCCCUGGUGGUCCAGCGGUUAGGACUAAAACUCCUAAUGUAGGGAGCUCAGGUUCGAUCCCUGGUCAGGGAA